CUCUAAUCCGCCGAAUCACAUGCCUAACCACGACUCUCCAUCCACCAAACCAAAUAAUAUCACCAAUUUUUUUUUUUUAAAAAAACGAUUAAAAUUUUCAAAAUAAUCAAGGUUAAUGUUAGGAUUAGCACUUUUGAGUGACUAUUUCUGUAAUUUUAGGUUAACUAAAUACGUACGUACCUACUACAAGAAUGAAUUCACAGCCGGUAGAGAGAUUGUUGAUCAAUCCUCCGCAGGAUCUGCUUCGGGCAUGGAUUCAUUUGGUUGGUUGUCAACAUAUGCCUGAGAACUCACAACUUGCCCUGUCAAGUCCUUGUGUUUCAAAUUUCCUGCAACCACAUGUACCCAUCCAGAAGGCGGAGCCAAGUGAAGUUGUAUGGAUAAGGGCCUUGACGUGAAACAGAAAGCGUUCUAGUGAUCUCUUUGUUGCUGGUAUUUUGCUGGUUAUGGCUGUUCGUUUCAGGCCCUAUAUAAACAGAACCUAAAAUCAAUUUGUUUCGUCGCAGAAGAUUAAAUUAAUCUUAACUUUUGAAACCGGAUUUGUUAAGACUACUAACCUUGGCUUCAGAACAUAGAGUCUGUAAUGUUCUUGUGGCCUUCUGAAGAUCCUUCACCUGAUAUGUCAUCGUAAGAGUUUCGGAAAUUUGGUGAUA